rnacentral:rRNA from 1 species
UACGGGGGGGGCAAGCGUUGUUCGGAAUUACUGGGCGUAAAGGGCUCGUAGGUGGCCAACUAAGUCGGACGUGAAAUCCCUCAGCUUAACUGGGGAACUGCGUCCGAUACUGGAUGGCUUGAGUUUGGGAGAGGGAUGCGGAAUUCCAGGUGUAGCGGUGAAAUGCGUAGAUAUCCGGAGGAACACCGGUGGCGAAGGCGGCUUCCUGGACCGACACUGACGCUGAGGCGCGAAGGUCAGGGGAGCAAACGGG